UAUGUGACACUGAAAAAGGACAAAGCCAAAUAAAAAACAGAAAGGAUAGACAUCUUCUCCUUCUUACGUGUUCCAUUUCGUCUUCAACAUCUCUCUCUAGGGCUUCUUCGACUUGCUCAAAAUCCCCAAUUCAAACCAUGUGGCGCUAUUUCUCCACUGUUUUUGAAUGCCACAUCGGUUUCCCAAGACUUACCCCGGUCAAUUGUAAAAUCAAAUCAUAUUCCCAAAUGAGAAAUAGUAAUGGUCAAGGUUUAUUAAAUGGGCAUCUAGUUGGAUCCUUGACGAAGAUGUAUGAAACUUCAUGUGAGAAGUUAUCAGAAGAUACACCAAAAGAUAAUUCUGUUUCUGAUAUGCUGGUUGACUCCUUCGGAAGGCUACACACUUACUUGAGAAUUUCUUUGACAGAGCGUUGUAAUUUACGGUGUCAGUACUGUAUGCCAGCUGAGGGUUUAGAACUCACUCCUAGUCCUCAACUUCUCUCGCAAAGUGAAAUUAUCCGUCUGGCAAAUCUCUUCAUCAGCUCUGGGGUGGACAAAAUUCGUUUGACUGGUGGGGAGCCAACCACUAGGAAGGAUAUUGAAGAAAUAUGCUUACAGCUGUCUAACUUGAAAGGGCUAAAGACCUUGGCCAUGACUACAAAUGGGAUCACUCUAGCAAGGAAACUUCCAAAGUUAAAAGAAUGCGGAUUGAGUGCGUUGAAUAUUAGCUUAGACACAUUGAUCCCUGCAAAAUUUGAAUUUAUGACCAGGCGAAAAGGGCAUGCAAGGGUAAUGGAGUCGAUUAAUGCUGCCAUAGACCUUGGAUACAAUCCUGUUAAAGUGAAUUGUGUUGUAAUGCGUGGAUUCAAUGAUGAUGAAAUUUGUGAUUUUGUGGAGUUGACUCGUGAGAAAUCAAUUAAUGUCCGGUUUAUUGAGUUUAUGCCUUUUGAUGGAAAUGUCUGGAAUGUCAAGAAGCUUGUACCCUACUCAGAAAUGUUGGAUAGAGUGGUUAAACAGUUUACAGGGCUAAAGAGAAUCCAAGGCCAUCCCACAGAUACGGCCAAGAAUUUCAGGAUAGAUGGGCAUCAGGGCACUGUCUCUUUCAUAACAUCAAUGACUGAACAUUUUUGUGCUGGUUGCAAUAGGUUGCGACUUUUAGCUGAUGGGAACUUUAAAGUUUGCCUCUUUGGCCCCUCAGAGGUUAGCUUGAGGGAUCCCCUUCGUCGUGGUGCUGAUGAUAAUGAACUCAAGGAAAUAAUUGGGGCAGCGGUACACGUUCUUCUCGCGAUGAAAUUAAUUAUAUAGUCAAGAGGAAGAAAGCUUCUCAUGCUGGAAUGUUCGACAUUGCAAAGACACCCAAUAGACCUAUGACACACAUUGGAGGCUAGGGCUUGGCAUUCCUUUCCCAAAUACUGGAGGUUGAAGCCAAAAACAAGAAGAAAGAAACUAAGUAAUAGAGGAACCCACAGCCCCCACAAGCUGCUUCUCCUGCCAUAGCUUUUGGCCUAAACUCGUCAGAGCACUUCGCAGGACUUGGUUAUGUGACUGUGAAGCUAAAGCCACCUUGGCCAAGCUAUCGGCACAAUCAUUUGCUUCUCUAGGAAUGGUGGCAAUGUCACAACACCAAUCCCUAGCGUAGCUUGUGGAUGUUGUUCAUCAAAAUUGCGGAUCGCCGAUGUUUUCCUACACAUAGAAAGUGCAAUGAUAAUUUUUCAUUUGGAUCUCCUUUACGUGCUUGGAGGUCUAAUUUGGUGGUGCAAAGAAGAUCUGGAGCUAUUCAUUGUUGCAAUCAGUUGAUAUCACCUGAUAGAUACACAUAGAAAGAAAAACAAUAAUAAACAGAAGAAAUGAAUGACAGAUGGAUGGAAGGAAGAAAGAAAUGUUGCUAGCAAUGCUACUGCUUGUCUGUUAUUAGUCAGAAACUCGUUAACAAUGUCAGAAUCCCAUCCGUAAUAACUUUAGAUUUUGUUGUAUUCCAUGUAGCGUUGUCUUCAGUUUCUUUAGAGUAACUCUGAAAGAUUUUGUUACUUGUCUAUUUAUAUACAAAAAAUGGAAAUGUGUGCUUAUAUUUUAGUAAAGAAAAAAGACUUCAUGUCAGUGCCGGGCUCUGUUUGCUUUUA